rnacentral:rRNA from 1 species
UAGGGAAUCUUCCACAAUGGACGCAAGUCUGAUGGAGCAACGCCGCGUGAGUGAAGAAGGUCUUCGGAUCGUAAAGCUCUGUUGUUGGUGAAGAAGGAUAGAGGCAGUAACUGGUCUUUAUUUGACGGUAAUCAACCAGAAAGUCACGGCUAACUACGUGCCAGCAGCCGCGGUAAUACGUAGGUGGCAAGCGUUGUCCGGAUUUAUUGGGCGUAAAGCGAGCGCAGGCGGAAUGAUAAGUCUGAUGUGAAAGCCCACGGCUCAACCGUGGAACUGCAUCGGAAACUGUCAUUCUUGAGUGCAGAAGAGGAGAGUGGAACUCCAUGUAGU